UUCAGCCAAAGGUGUCCUUUUCCCACUUAACUCCCUCAAGGGAAGGGAUGGGAUGAAUGCUGGGAUAAAUCCUGAGUUGCUGCAGUGGUUAAAACAGUCUUGGAAUCCCAGAUUUUAGGUUGGGAAAGACCUUCAGGUUGUUGAGUUCCACCAAUCCCAGGGUUUCACACUGAUAAUGCCCCACGGGACAGAGCUGGUGUGACUCCAGCAGUUCACUGCUCUUCAGCCUCUGAAAGUAAAACACAAACUGAACCUUCUGAGCUGAUUUCUCAGGUUUUGCACUUCCCAAGGCACAGUCUUCCCUGGAGCAGCAGUGUCCAUUCCUUUAGUACAAUCCAUGCCCAUCUCCUGGAGGAUGCCCCACUCUCAUUCACAUCUGAGGUUUCUUCCAAGCUUCAGAACCUGUGUCAGUCUGGUGAUCAGCUGGAAGAGAGAAUUAAUUAAAUUGGAUUGCUAGAAUGAAUUCCACAAUACCCUGGGAAGUCUGAUAUUUGUAAUCAACUAUGGAACUGUUGCUAGGACACUGGAAUUGAUUUUUUGGAAAAAAGAUCUAUUCAAAUAUUUGCCUGUCUAAAGCUAUGAAUCCAAGAUAUACAAAAGUUAACUGUGAAAAUUUUUUAGUGCUUUCAUUUAUAAUAUAUUAACUCCUGACUCAGAAAACAUAUGGAAAAGCCCACAAGAAUCUACUACUACAUAUGUAAGAUAUAUUCCUAAAGAGAAACAAAUUAUAGCUGAUGAAUUGUUAAUUCCAUGACCAUUUCCCUCUGCUGCCCUACCCGAGCAGCAAGGACACACAGAAGACAAUUAAUAUCUAUUAACAAUGUUAGAUUUAGUUUGCACAUCUGACAGUAACAUCAUCCCCCACAGCACAAAAAGAUUUAUAACAUUGAAAUAUAAAGGACUUGGUGAUGGAGCUUGUACCCCCUUAACCAGAGAAACUGUCCCAAAGUUCAGUGUUUACUCUCAGUUUUACCAAGUUCUUUUUCUCAGUUUCCACCUGUGGCCCCAUGACAAACCCUGAGCAGUUCUACUUGCUCUGCAGAGCUCAACUUCAAUUACUUUCAGAAAGUUUUCUCAUCCUUAAUUGUCAUUUAUCCAAGUUAUUAUUGUUUAAUCCUUUAAUCUCUUGUCAAUCAUGACAAUCUUCCCCUCUGUUUUUCUCUUCACAAUGUUCAACCACCCC